UAAGGAGUGGGAUGAAGGACCCUCACCUUCCCCUCCUUUC
rnacentral:miRNA from 1 species